CGGAGAACGAGCGCAUGAAGAUGUACUUUACCGGAGUUUGUCCGGUAAUGUCAUGAGUGAAAACGUCUCGGAAACCAUCUGGUCUACGCCGCUCAGAUAAGACGAACACACCAAGAGGAUUUUUAAUGUUUUUGAAGACAAAGUAAACCUCGAGGAGCGUCUGUCUGGAUGAAAUUGACAGAAAGACGUUAGGAUCGAAUAUAAACAGAACAUCACAGCGGACAGGGGGAGCAGUGAAGCUAUAAUCUGAGUAUGGGCCCUGAGGAGCUGCCUGACCUUAUGGACACGAUGUCGAGCACUCCUCCUCCGUCUCCUCGUCCUGUUUGUUCCUCAUUCUCACCUCCUCACUGCUCUCCACCGGUCGUGACCUUACGCUCCCCUGCCACUCGUUACCUGACUCAGCUCGACCCCUGGAGGAGACACAGCUGGGAACCUGGAGCUGUGGCACAGGGAUAUCCACCCAAUGACACACGCAGUGUGAGUCUUGAAGAUCUGAACCCGGAUGAGAUGUCCUUAGUGCUAAACAGUGCAUGGAAGUCAAAAAGAGCCCGAGAAGCCCGCAGGUCUGUCACUCAAGCUUCCCUGACGUCACUUACUGAGGAGGAAGUUGGAGCAGAGCAUCAGGAACAUCAUCGAUCAGCGCUGGAGGAGCAGUCCAAUCAGAUGCAUGGCUGCAGUGUCUCCGCCCCCAGCCUGUGUAUGAUGCAGCUGAUGCCUAGAAGCUCCGCCCCUCGCCCACGCUCCUAC
rnacentral:lncRNA from 1 species